rnacentral:lncRNA from 1 species
ACAUUUCUGAAGCCCUGCCACCUGCCAUCCCUCGUAGGGAUUCAAGUCCAAAUAGCCAGAGCCUCUGGCAGAGGAGAUGGGGGAAACUGAGGUAGCCCUAGGGUCGUCCUCUCAAGUCAAGCUGCCUGGAGACUGUAGCAGCUACGGUUGAGGCUGCUCAGGAAGCACAGACCGCCCCAGACAGCAGCUGAAGCUGAAGACUCCAGGGCCAGGCCAUCGGGUCAGGCGUUCAGGAACGCGAAAGCUGACGGCUCUGAGCCAGGAGGCUCUUUGGCUGCUGUCCUCUGGGACGAUGUUUGGGGGGCGCGGGGAGCAUCAGGACAGGACUCUCCCGCAGCAGCCCCAGCCCCCACCAGGCGGGGACAGGCCACCAGCUCCAUGCCAGCAAACAAGGAGUCGCGGCUCCACGCACAGCUGCUGGGGCCUCUCUUUGGGCUGUCCGUGCCCCCUGGGAUCCGUUCAGGUCUCCACCGCCUGCUUUCUGCCAGUCUGGCCUCGGCCUCGCUGGGGUCUCCGGGGGCUGGAAUGGGGGAGGCAUCUGGGGGUGGGGUGGGCACAGGGCUGGACGGCAUCCCAGAUGAGGGAGCAGGGCUCCGGGACGAGACCGGGGUUGAACUCAGAGGCUGCAGGAAGACCUGGCUCCCAGGGAGAGGCACAGCGUCGGUCAGCAGACAAAUGGACACCCUCCCCGUCAUAACCCGCCAGGCACUGCCGGAGGGAGUGAACACGUGGCCUGGCACAUCUGGGCAUUUCCAACUGUUGGACGCAGGGUUCUUCCAGCAUGCCCGUUUUAGAAACCCCACUAUGAGGUUCGCCUGCGGUGGUGCGAACCCCAGGCUCACUCGUCGCUCUGACUGAAAGCCAGGGAGAAAACAGGAAGAAAGAAGCUGGGAAUGCCCACAGGCAGAGGGAAGGUGCCAGGGCCUGGCGGCCGGGAGAGGCCUCCCCGUGUGAUUCCAGUGGCCGCCAGGCAGUUCAGAGUGUUCAAGUGCACAGAGAUGAAUGGAACCAUUUCUGCCCUCCGGAGCUUGGGAGUUGAGCAUGAGCUGUGUCAUGGGUGGCAAACUGCAUGUGCAGUCAGGGAGGGCUUCCUGGAAGAGGUAAGUGUGAGGCCAAGACACAAGGGCAGGAACAUUAAGGCAGCGGAGUCUGGGGGCUUCCAGGAAUAGGUAGAGGCCAGUGUACUGUGAGUGCUGCAGAGUUUGGGUGGAAGGCGGGAAGGCAAUGGGGAGGUGAGGACCCUGACUUGCUGCUGCUCCCUCUGCCAGCGGGACAGGGACUUGAGAGGGGGUCCGGGAAGGGCUGACCAGGCGCCGGGCAGGGACGGGGUGGCCGUGGACUGCAGCGUAUCUCCCACUGUACCCUUGGACCCCGGUGUGCGUGUGGCCUCCGCAGCUGCCCACCUUGGUGGCCUUGUUGGUCACAGGUCCCGGGCUGCCCAUGCUGAGCUCCUGCAGCCACGGCCGGGUGCGGAGGAGGAUGUGCUCCUGGGGGAGGAGGUCGCUGCUCCCCAGGGAGGCGAUGGCACACAGCGCCCUCUGCGGGUGAAGGGAGGGGACAUCAGCACCCAUGGGGCAGCAGGUCCACGCCAGGGAGGCCUAUUUGGCCAUCUCUCUCCCUCUUCUUCCUCCUCAUCAAUGACUGGAGUGCCAGGAGGCCCCAGAGACAGCUCCACCACAGCCCUGUCCUCACCGCCUUACACCCCGGAUCCCAGACACCACAGCCCUGUCCUCACCACCUUACACCCCCGCUCCCAGACACCAGAGCCCUGUCUUCACCGCCUUACACCCCAGCUCCCGGACACCAGAGCCAUGUCCUCCCCGGCUCCUGGACAGACCCCAGCGAGAAGCACGUGACCUGCUGCCCCGAUUGCCUUACCUUCAUUCCUCCGCACGCCCCCCGACACACGCACACACGUGUCCACACUUUCAUGUGCAUGCACACACACACAGGCACAUACAUACACAACCACACACAUGCAGUCAUGUACACACACACACAGAUGUGUGCAUACCACACACGUGCACAAGUGUGUACACACCGCACACAUGCACGAGUGUGUACACACACAGGCAUACAUACACAGGCAUACACACCCACACGCACACACACAGGCAUGUGCGCACGCACAGCCACACAGAGGAAUGUUCACACACAGGUGUGCACACAGGCACACGUGCACACACACGCACACGCACACACACGCACACAGGCACAUGCACACAGUCACGCCCUCCCGCCCGCGUGUGCAGCUCACCAGCUGCGUGCAUUCACUGGUCCCACGCAGGUGGCAGGUCAGCAGCUGCAGCACGGCCUCACAGUUGAGCAGUCCACACCUGCACAGAGGGGACACCUGGGUGGCGGGUGCGGCCCGUUCCCUCCUCCCUCGCCCACGGUUGGGGCUGAGGCAGAGCAGGGCGGGUCCGGGCGCACUCACGCUUUGAUGAAGUGCUGUGCCUCCUCGCGGCUCAGGAAGGCGCGUGGUCCCCGAGUCACAGUCCUCACCAAGCUCAACUCCUGCUGACAGUCACUCAGGGCCACCACCUCGACCCUGCCAGGGGGAAUGGCCGGGUCAAGGGUGAGUGGAGGCCAUGCCCCCACUCCUGUCUCGCAUGGGGGAGAACCUGGAGAGCAGGAGCCGCGCUGGGAGGGGGACAGUGUGGUGCCUCCGAGACCUCUCCCACAUAUCUGGCAGCUCCCGCUCACCUUUCUGCCAGGUCACCCGGCUCCCGGCUGGCCCCUGAAUGGCUGUCGCUGCCGGAAUGACUGCCCGAGUCCGAGACCCUGCUCAGGUCGCUGUUCUGGGAGGAAUUCUGAGAGCUGGGGCCGCUGUCCAGCUCAUCCCAGCCCCCUCCGGCCUGCCCAGGCUGAUGCCUCACAGCUGGAGGAAACAGGACAGCCGGUGAGAUCCCUGGGGCUUCAGGCCAGCCCCAUGCCCACCUCCCGGGGCCCUGGACCAGGAGGCCUCGGGGGCUGAGUCCUGAGCUGAGGAUGGGUGGCCACCUUGGCUCCAGCUUCAGCAAACACCAGCCCCAUGGGCAUGUGCUUCCGCCGCGGGUCCCACCCCUCCUGCUGUGUGGGAGGCCCUGGGAUUUGCCUCCGUGGCCGCAAAGCCCCAGCGGUGACAGGAAGGAGUGACCCAGACCCCAAGGGGAGGAGCCCUCGCCUCGAUACCUCGGGGACCUGGAAUGGCCCCGGGGAGUAGGUUCCCCAGGGUUGGGGGACCGUGGCUGGCUGAAGGCAUCAUGGCAGGCUGGUAGGUGUCACCCCGCGGCAGGAGCCUCCGGGUACUGGGACUCUCGGGCCCGGGGCGCAUGGCGCUGGCCACCACCUCUGCGGCCUUCUGGAUGGUGGAGAGGAAGGCUUCGCCUGCCGAGCCUGUACCCGAGGAGAGGGAGAUGGGACGGCCGCCCAGUGCGGCCCCCACCCGCGUUCUCUGGGAGCAGGGUGCCCGCAUCGGCUCCCUGCUCAAGCUUGGAGAGGUCGGGGUACAUGCUGCAGGUAGGGAGGCCUCCUGGUGGGCCCCAGGCCCUCUGGAAGCUCCCAGUGGACUCCGCUUUGGCAUUCCCACUCCCAGUGGGCCUGGACACCAAAGCUCACUGCAGAGUUAUGCCUCCGUCCCUCUGUCCUCUGGGGGUGAAGGUGUCCUAAGGGGCUUGGGCUUGGCCUUGGCUCAGGGAGGGUGUGUCCAGGGCUCGGGGAGGGGCCGGCCUUUCCUGUGUGAGUUCCCUGUAGAAGCUGCCCCGACACCAAAGUGUCGGCAGGAGCCCCAGGCUGUGCGCAGGACGGCGUGACACAGCCUAACGGUGAGCAGCUACACACCGCCCAGGGCCCGGCAGCAGGGCACAGCUGGGCUGGGGGCUGGGUCCCAGCCGCAGGCAGUGGUGCCACCUGUGGCUCUCCUGGCGCUGGUGAGCAGUUGUCCACUGGUACUGCCCCACCUCAUAACAGCUCCACACGGGACUGCCUGAGUCACCUGCACCACAGCCAGGGGCACAGCCCUCGGCCCCUCUCAGAGUGGGACUCACCCCUGCCACGGGGCCCAGCCCUGACUUCUUGCUCGGCCUGGUUUCUCUCAUCUGUCCAUAAAGCAGCCCUGGCCACACCUGCCCCACCCCCACGUCAGCAGCCAGAGAGAGACAGUGGGGACAGCCCCAGGAAGGGUUGAGGCCAUGUAGGGGAGGGGACGGGGGACAGCAGCUACUAGAUGGGGCGGCAUGGUCCGGCCCCCACCACCUCCUCAUCCCCACACCCUGAGAUGCCAGAGCCCAUGCAGGCCCUCCCCACUCACCCGUGCGGCCGUGUUCCUUGCUGUAGCCGAAACCCUGGAGGGUGCUGUGCGGCCUGGCCUGGGAGCCCAUGCCUGCAGAGGGUCCUCCGUUAGCAGCAAGCCGGCCCCCACCCUCGGCCCUGCCCACGGAUGGCACAGACACCCAGGACACUCAAGGAGGCAGAAACCAGGAGGAGGGGCACCCCGCAGAGCGACACUGCUCCUGGGCUCACCUG